CUCUCAGUCUGUCUGUCUGUCUGUCUCUCUCUCCCUCUCUUGCACGCACAUGUGCAUUAAAUCAUUAUGUUUUUUGAGAUUCUCAGAGAGACUGGAGUUUUUACAAUCUGCUAAAGCUCGAGAGAGGUUUUGUAUUUUUCUCUACUCAUGAUAAGCCAAAGAUGGCUUUGCAGCAGAUGGCUUUGCAGCUUUGGGGAUCUUCCUGAGAGAAUGGAAACCCUCUCAGUGUCCAGACUUUGUAAGCAACAAGAAGAUAUAUUUCCUCCUAGGAUACAGCACCUACGCAGGGGGAAUACCAACAUGCUCGAUUCCUGCAAUAACAAAGCCCUAGAGGAUGAGAGAGCCAAAUGAUUUAAAAGACUUGGAGUUCUGACUUACUACGUGAAUGAGAGCUACCUAGUGAAGAGGACAACUGCAUCGGAUUGUAUGAUAAUGUCUGCACUUGAGUGAAAAUGGAAGACAGCAAGACCAUCACCAUUAUAGAUGGAGCUGCACAUUGGGUGGAAAGUGAAUAACAGGACUGCUUUUUCUAUUGGGAUAUAUUUGUAAUUCAGAGUGAGAGUAAUUAUAAUUACAUAAAUAAGCCUUAAUCUAACUCCGGCUAGCACAAGUCAUCCAAGAAAAAAAAUACAUUUAAUAUAACACGAUUUCAAUCAAAACUUGCAAAUAAUAUGCACAUUAACAAUAAGAUGGUUAUUUAAGCUAUACUUUACUAUGCUUCAUCCUGUAUAAAGAAUGAAAUGUUGAGAUUUCCAAAAUAUAAUUUCAUUUCAAAUAAAUAAACAUUGGCAAGAUAUCUUGGAAGUAAUAAACUAUUUACUGCAUAAUACACUCCAUUUAAGAGUCAUCAGAAAAAUCCACAUCUACUCCAGUAAAAUGGAGUAUUGUGAAAUGACACAAUGUAGAAAAUUAAGUAGACAUUUCAUUUUAUAGAAAAUAACUUUCACUGACAUAUACAGAUGAUUUAUUAUAAAUACUUUACUGGAAGUAAAAUACUUUAUCUAGUUUGUAUCUUUUUAUUCUACCCUGCAUCUAGUGGUGAAUUCCUUGCAGCGGUCAAAAUUCUGUUCUGACACCUAUCAAGGUCUUUGCAAAUGUGAUCACAUUGUGUGGAAUCCUUUAGUUUCUCUUUGCUCUAAUAUUUCCUACAUCCCUACAAAAGUUUGUACAAACAACCUUUUCAGUCUUCAGGGAUCAUCUCAGAGAAAUCACCUCCUAAUGCCAAUGUUAAAUAUAGUCAUUCUGUCUAUGGGCUGCGAUGGUAUCUUUUUCAUACCUUGCUCACAAUCCUUUAGCAUAUUUAAUUGUAAUUCUCUCUUCCAAACUAAACUGUAGUCCCUCUUUGUAUCCCACUGUCUCCUUGCCUACUAGUGUACCCAGUACAUAUCAGGAACUCCCAGAAACAUAUAUUGCCUAAAACUAAAAUUAUAGAUUAACCUCCAUUCACACAUACUUUAUUCUUAUUUAUUUUCAUCUAAGGAGCAGUAACAAUUUUACGCAUUAGAUGCCUAUCAUCAUUGCAUCUAUUUUGUAUUCUGUAUUCAUAUAUAAUAACAAUAGAUAAGUUUAUCACAUGUGUACUCUGUGACAGGCAUUGUGUUUACCACUUCACAUGGAUUAAUAUAUUUGAUUAUCAUAUUAAAAAAUCUGUGAAGUAGGGAACAUUAUACCAAGUUGGUAAAAAUAAUCAGAGUUGACUACUAUCAAAAGCUAAAAUUCCAUGGUAAAACUUAUAAGCUAUUUCUUUCUGGAUCUAGUGACCUAUUUCUUAACCACUGCAGUUCAAUACUUCUACAUCUCUUCUCUCUUCUCUCCCUCCUUUUCUUGUUUUUCUUGUAGUCUAUCUGUUUGUCUCUCAUUUCUGAGUUGUACUAGAUACUGAGUUAAUUGAACUGCUGAUCAAUAAUCUCAAGAAUGAGUCUUUUUCCUUUUGAGAAUAUGUAAAACAUUGAAGCAAAGAAUAGUACACAUGUUUAACAAUAGCCCUUGGGGAACAAGAGAAAUAAAAAUCACAGUGGCUUUAAUCUAGUGUGGAUAAAAGUAAUGGAUAACAUUUCAUGGUCUUGAGUUCACUUUCCCGACAACUCAAAACACAGCUGAACACAGCUAAUGAAUGAGAAAUAAUAAAUUGAAAAAAAUGUUCUUGCAUACUUGUAAAGAUAUCAUAAAAUCCAUGGGCUAAAAUUCUUGUACUUUACUGAUAUUUCUGCAGCCUGAAAAGAAAGGAACGUGACAAAUAGUAGGUUUUAUUCACUGCACAAAUACAUACAGCAAUUUACUUAAAUAACUGGCAAGCUAAACCUGUCUGAUGACAUCAGAGCUACUUAUAUAUCUCAUUUCCAUCCUCUAUGUUUUUGUUGUUGACUAGAAAAUUUUAUUCUUUCAUAUUAAUUUAUAAUCAAUUAGAUUUUAGUUGAAUGGAUAAAGUCAACAGUGAUAUUUAUAAAUUCCUUGAUUCUAAGAAUUGGGUCACAUCGCUGCCUUAGAAAACAACACAAGGUGAUACAUUAUAGAUAUACAACACCUACUUUUUUAUAAUGAGGAAUUUUUUUAAACAAAAGAACGGAUUCGCUAAUAUUAGCGAAGUCAUGCAUUUUGUGACUCUCUUCUAAUAUGCUACUUAACGAUAUAUGGAUAUUUUCUCUAGAUGUGUAAAUAGGCAUUUUUUUCCGUGACAGUUUUGUUGCAUCUUAUAUUUACUUAAAUCAAGAGAAAAUUACAUGAAAAAAAAAAAAAAACACAACCACAGAGAGUCUUCAUCCAGAUUCUGGCUUUGAGAUGAGGAAAAUAUUGCAAUGAGUUACAUAAUUAGUCAGUUACAAAACUUUUUCUGUGAGAAAAUAGCGAUCCAUCUCAGUGAAAUGUGCCAAGUGAGACCAUUCCAGCAAUAACCAUUAAGACUCAGAACAGAGAAGCUAAAGUACACCAAACAGAAAGAGAGAUUGACUCAUUAAAACUAAAUUCUCCUUCCCCCAUAGGAUACCCUUGAACAUUCUCCUUAAUAUGGAGAAUUCUGGCUGACAUUUGCAAGAACCAUUUAUAACUCAAAUCCUGGAUGAAUUGCAGAAAAUGAUGGGUGCUACAUGCACAACAGAAGUUUUAAGUUUUUUCUGAUUUUUCACAGAAAAGAUUCUCAAAUAAACAUCUUUAACAUAAUUUGCUAUUACAUCUAUGUUUGAAUUGCUUUAGAAUUUUGAAAACCAUUACCACGUUUUUGUAAAUUAGGCUUAAUUUGCAUUUUUAUUUGACAAAUAGCCUGAUUAAAAUAGAGUUUAUGAAUUGCACCUGGUUAGCCAAUACUACUGACAUUUUACAUUGUUUAACAUUGAAAAUUCAUUAAAAAAUCUUUUCAAAAUGUAUAUAUAGCAGACCAAAGAGGUACUUAACACAUAAGAAGUUGUAUUAUGUUAAAGCCAAGUUAUUCAUUUAGGUCAAUUUACCUAAUGUUACUUAGUGAUACUGCUGCAACCUAUUUAAUAUAUGUUGAAUUAGUUUUCUUAUUAAUAAUUCAAAUUUAAAAAUACUUUAUUAUAACUUUUUUGGUUCCCAAGUAAUUAAGGGAGUUCUGGCCUCUAAUUAAAACUUCUAUUAUAAUAAUCUAAAAGAGGCAUUUCCAUUCUUUCAAGCUUUAUUAAGCAAUUCAUUAAUAACUAUAACAGAUGAUAUAAGCCAUUCAGUUAGUCAACAACAAUUUAUAAACAAAGGUUAUGUAUUUGCUUUAAAAUGUUCCAAAGUAAACUUUAGGAAAUGUUUGUAAAGAUUAUAUAAAUACUUUUAUAUAAGUAGAAAAUAUCUUCAAAAAUAACAUUUAUGAUGCUAGAAAUUUGUCUCUAGAGUAAUCCUUUUGUGAGUCCUGGUUUGUGUUAGCUGCUCUGCCUUUCUGCAUCAAAAGUGGAAUUUUCUUCUAUUUCUACUUCAUUGAUUUCUUUUUCAAUAUCCUUGUAUGUCCUAUAUCUCAUUAAGUCUUGAAUAAUUGUAGUCCCUGGGGUAACUCAUGGGAAUAUAUCCCUCUAAAGAAGGCUAUCUUAUAUCUCAGUUUGCAGCCUUAAGUACCAAUUUUAUGCUGAUUACUACAAAAUGCCUACCUUCAGAACCAACUACUCUGAAUUUGAAACUCAUGUAUGUAUUAAAUUUAACAUUUAAAAUUUUAUAACUAAUAGAUCUGGAAUGUUACAAUUUAAUUUGUGCCACCUGAAACUGUUCCUUCCUAAACUUUUCUGAUAACAGGAAAUGAUAUUGACAACUACCCAGGAUCUCAAGCCCAAAAUCCAUGAGUUAGCUUUGAUUCUUUAUCUUUUCAUUUCACACAUGCUUUCUACCAGAGAUUUUAUCAAGAUAUCACAAAUCUUAUACCCUCUCCACAUCCAGUAAUUACCAGCUUAACAAAAAUUAUUCAAAUUUAUGAUUUAGAGCAUUGGAUCACUGUAUUACAUACCUAAUUGCUCUGCCUGUUUGAGUUUUGACCACUCCCUCUACCCACUAUCCAUCCUUCAGAAAGGCGAAUUUCUUUUUGAAAUACAAAUUUCCUUUCUGAUUAGAUUCAAUUAUUAAAACCUUAAAAUAACAUUUUUAUUUACUUAUAGCAAAAUCUGAACUCCUUAAUUGGAAAACAAGAUUUGUUGUCCACCCACUUAUUCUGUAUCACUUCCUACAACUCUCUCUGCUUUAUAUUUUUACACAGUACAGCUGUAGACACCUUCUUUCUGCUUCGUAUGCAUAAGAGAGCUUGUCUGCUCUUAUGUCUUUGCAAUAUUUAACCCUUCUACUCCACAUUAUCUUCCACAAUUCUUCAUACAGUUGAUUUAUUUAGGUCUCAACUUAGUUAUCUAGUAUAUUAACUCUCUGGAGCUACUGUAACAAAGGACCACAAACUGAGUGGCUUAAAAUAAGAGCAAUUUAUUGUCUCACAGCUCUGGAGUAGAAGUCCAAAUUCAAGGUAAUGGCAGAGUUGGUUCCUUCUGAAGAGACUAGGAAGGAGAAUCUACCCCUGCCUCUCUCCUAGCUUCUGGUGACAGGUGGGAGGAUCUAUUCUCGAUUGGUAGAUGCAUCACUAUAAUCUCUGCCUCUGUCUCCACAUGCUCUUCUCCCUGUUUGUCUCUGGAUUUAAAAAUUCUCUUGUUAUAAGGAUAUCAGUCAUAGUGGAUUAAGACCCUAUUGAUCUCAUCUUGUUUACAUCUUCAAAUACCCUUUAAAAAAAAAAAGACCACAUGGUGCAGGGGUUAGAGCUUCAACAUAUCUUUUUGGAGGACACAACUCAGCCCAUAAUGUCACCUCUUUGGAGUAUGCUUCACAUAAAAUUCACUCUCAUAAUGAGGUGUCUACUUUUCAUCAAGGUAUUUGCCAUUACUUGAUAUUUUUGUGUUUAUUUAAGUAAUGGUUUAUUGCAUGCCUUCCAGGAAUAAAGACAGUUCCAUGAGGGGGUGACCUCAUCUGUUGUUGCUAAUUUUCCGGGAGGUAUAACUAGAAGAAAGCACUGCCUACAGUAGGAACUUAAUACAGACUUGGUGUAUGUGUAUAUGAAUUAAUAUUGAAUAUAUUAUAAUACCUGUUUUCCCCUAUUACUGUUAUAAUUUAUAUUUGUUAUGAUAUUACUGCUUAUUAUAAUACCUGAAAUAUGUGUACCAUUUAAUUUUACCUUAAAUUUAUAAUCAAGGUUUUCUACUUAAUAACUAGUCAAGGUUGUAGUGAGUUUUUUUUUAAUCCAAUAGAACAUAGGUGCAAUUCAAGAGUGAGUCUU